rnacentral:SRP_RNA from 1 species
GCCGGGUGUGGUGGCGCACGCCUGUAAUCCCGCUACCGGGAGGCUGAGGCUGGAGGACCGUUUGAGCUCAGGAGCUCUGAGCUGCAGCCGUCUGUGUCGAGCGGGCGUCUGCACUAAGCUCGGUAUCGGUAUGGGGCUCCCGGGGGAGCCGGGGCCCCCAGGUCGUCUAAGGAGGGGCGCACCGGCCCAGGUCGGAAACGGAGCAGGCCAAAGCCCCCGUGCCGCUCAGUAGUGGGAUCGCGCCCGUGAGCCGACGCUGCCGCGCAGCCUGGGUAACACAGCGGGACCCAGUCUUUU